rnacentral:lncRNA from 1 species
CUCAGCCACAGAACUUAGAAGAGUAGAGAGAAAAUUCUUUUUCCUCCCCUUUAGCAACAGAGUCUCCGUGGAAACACAGACAGGCAGCAGGUGAUAGUAGUUCCCACCCAGAGGACAGCAAGCACAGUGAAUGUCUGAUGCCGCGGGACGGUGCUUCAACCUUGAAGAUGCCCUGA